rnacentral:rRNA from 1 species
UGUCCGGAUUAUUGGGCGUAAAGGGCUUGUAGGCGGUUUGUCGCGUCUGCCGUGAAAUCCUCUGGCUUAACUGGGGGCGUGCGGUGGGUACGGGCAGGCUUGAGUGCGGUAGGGGAGACUGGAACUCCUGGUGUAGCGGUGGAAUGCGCAGAUAUCAGGAAGAACACCGGUGGCGAAGGCGGGUCUCUGGGCCGUUACUGACGCUGAGGAGCGAAAGCGUGGGGAGCGAACAGGAUUAGAUACCCUGGUAGUCCACGCUGUAAACGUUGGGCACUAGGUGUGGGGGCCACCCGUGGUUUCUGCGCCGUAGCUAACGCUUUAAGUGCCCCGCCUGGGGAGUACGGCCGCAAGGCUAAAACUCAAAGGAAUUGACGGGGGCCCGCACAAGCGGCGGAGCAUGCGGAUUAAUUCGAUGCAACGCGAAGAACCUUACCAAGGCUUGACAUGCACGGCGGCACUGCAGAGAUGUGGUGGCAUUUAGUUGGUCGUGUGCAGGUGGUGCAUGGUUGUCGUCAGCUCGUGUCGUGA